AACAUGGUUUUUUGUUUUAUAUAAAAAAUCUGGCCUGCUCAGUGAGUUUUAAAUAGCUGCAGUAUUUUGACUGUACAAAGGUAGCAUAAUCACUUGUCCUUUAAUUGAGGUCUGGAAUGAAUGGUUUGAUGAAAAAUAUACUUUAUUUAUUUUUAAGAAAAAAAUUAAUUUUUGAGUAAAAAAGCUUGAAAAUUUUUUUAUAGGACGAGAAGACCCUAUAGAGCUUUAUUUUAUUAUUUUUGUAUUAUAUUAGGUUAUAUAUUUUUAAUAAAAAUGGUGAAAUUUUGUUGGGGUGACAAAAAAAAUAUAAUAACUUUUUUUAAUUAUUGCAUUAAUUAAUGUAUUUUUGAUCCUUUUUUUGGAAAAAAGAAUAAGCUACCUUAGGGAUAACAGCGUUAUUAUUUUGGAGAGUUCAUAUCGAUGAAAUAGUUUGCGACCUCGAUGUUGGAUUAAAAUAAGAUAUAGAAGUAGAAUGUUAUAUUCUUGGUCUGUUCGACCUUUAAAUUUUUACAUG
rnacentral:rRNA from 1 species